rnacentral:rRNA from 1 species
GCGAUUCGGCAUGGUCUGAUUUUAAUUUAUUCUCUUGCUUUUUUUGUUAUGUUUCUUUGGUUUUUAAUUGAAGUAUCAUCUUGUUGUUGUAUAUUUUUGAUUUAAUUCUUGUUGCGAUAGUUUACUUGUACCGUGAGGGGUUGAUGAUUUUUUUUGUGGAAGUUGAUUUUGUUUAUUGUACCUUGUGUAUCAGGGUUCAUUGAAUUUUAUUAUUUAUUUUUGUUUCCCGAUUUUGGAGGAGUUAAUGGUUUAUGCUGGUUGGUGUUUUAUCAUCAUCAGUAAUAUAUUGUUGGUAGUGAUAUGCUAUUCGUCUUUGUUGGUUUCUGGUUUUUCAAGAAAUGAAUUUAAUUCAUGCGUUUUGUUUAGGGUUUAUUGUUGGCUUAUUUCUCUUUAUUUAGUGCUAAGAUUGGGGGGGACUAGCUCCUUAUUUUAUUAUUAUAACUUUGUGCUCAGUUAUUUAGUUUUGUGGAUUUUAUGGUGAUUUUCAAUUUGAUUAUGUUAAAAUUUUAUUCGUUCUUUUUUUUAUUUAUUUGGGGUUUAAUCUGUUUAUUGGAAUGUUUUCUUUAUCUUAUUUUGGAUGGUAAUUAUUAUGGAAUUAGUAAAUUUUAUUUUUAUGGUGUUUUAUUGGUGUUAAUUUCUUUUAAGGAAUUAGGCAAAUUUUUUAUGUCCGCCUGUUUAACAAAAACAUCUUUUCUUGUUAGUUUCUGAAGUAUGGCCUGCCCGCUGACGUAUUUUGAGUUGAAGGGCCGCGGUAUUUUGACCGUGCAAAGGUAGCAUAGUCAUUAGUUCUUUAAUUGUGAUCUGGUAUGAAUGGCUUGACGAGACAUAGGCUGUCUUGGUAUGAAUUUGUUGUUGAAUUUGGAGUUUAAGUUAAAAUUCUUAGAUGUUUUUAUGGGACGAGAAGACCCUAUAGAGUUUGACAUUUGAUUACGUAUUUCUUAUUGUUUGUUUUAAAUUUUUGCGUGUCUUUUGUUUUGUUGGGGUGAUGGGAGGAAUAUAUUUAACUCCUCUUUUAUGUGGUAUAUUGAUUUGUAUAUGUUUUGAUCCAUUUAUUUUGAUUGUAAGAUUAAAUUACCUUAGGGAUAACAGCGUUAUCUUCCCUGAGAGUUCUUAUUGGCGGGGGGGUUUGCGACCUCGAUGUUGGAUUAAGGUUAAUUUUUGGUGUAGGAGCUGAAUUGAUUGGGUCUGUUCGACCUUUAAAAUCUUACAUGAUCUGAGUUCAAACCGGCGUGAGCCAGGUUGGUUUCUAUCUAUAAUGAGUUUUAUGCCUUAGUACGAGAGGACCGGGCAUUUGGAAUAAUUUUGUUGUUAUUGGGUUGUUGUUAAUGUGGCUAUUUUGGCAGAUAAGUGCGUUGGAUUUAGAAUCCUUUAA